ensembl:processed_transcript 1700030C12Rik RIKEN cDNA 1700030C12 gene
GUUGUUCACGUUGGUCCCGUCCUCCCGCUCCUCCACGAUCCAGCGCGGGUCCCCCUGGCCCCACUUGGCCAUGGCGGCGCUGACGACGACGGCCCUGGUAGCGGGAGCGCGCGGGUUUCCGGCCAGAAGUGAUCCUCUAGAGACAAAAGAUCGUGCUUGCAAGUGCCUGGGAUUGUGGAUACAGUUACAAUAAGGGUUUAUUAAUUCUUUCCAUCGUUUUUCACCUUCUAGCAAAAACUGAAGCCACCAUCUGGAAAGUGUUUCUUAGGAGAUUAUUUUAACAAAUAAAAUAGGUAGUUCAAUGGGAGAUGGGGAAGGACCUGGCUGCUCUGUGCACUUGCCAUUCAGUGGUCUGCUUAUCAGCAAAACAAGCUGAAAGGGCUAUGGUGUUUAUUGGAGCUAUUGCAUUUCGAUGUGUUCUUCGAGAAGUUACAUCAUUCAAACUGCUGAAGCAAUGCUGUGACCCCCCCCCCAAAUCAAACGGCAUUGUUAGUUCAACUGAUCAUACCAAAGGCACAGCUGACAGAAGGCAAGACUCUAGCGAUGAUUGGCGUGUACUUUGUGUGCCUACUUUUCAUCCAGUUCUUCUGUUUGCUCCUGAUAAAACAUUUCAUGAUAAGAUUUAGAUAUGUUCAUUUGAACCUGACAGAAAAUAAGACUUCUGAGGGUAGAAGCUGCUACAAUCACUAAAAUGUAUAAAUACCAAAAUAUACAAGAACUACUCCCAGUAGAAAUAAAUUUACUGGAAUGUAACUCGAUUGUGAGUCUAGGAGACCAAUGGACCCUGAAGCACUCUUCAGAUCUGCGAUUUAAAAAUGACCUCCAAUAAGACAUUGCAAAAAUGGGAAAGAAACAAUGG